UACGUAGGUGGCAAGCGUUGUCCGGAAUUAUUGGGCGUAAAGCGCGCGUAGGCGGCCCGGUAAGUCCGCUGUGAAAGUCGGGGGGCUCAACCCUCGGAUGCCGGUGGAUACUGUCGGGCUUGAGUGCGGAAGAGGCGAGUGGAAUUCCUGGUGUAGCGGUGAAAUGCGCAGAUAUCAGGAGGAACACCAAUUGCGAAGGCAGCUCGCUGGGACGUUACUGACGCUGAUGCGCGAAAGCGUGGGGAGCAAACAGG
rnacentral:rRNA from 1 species